CUUUACUAUAGCCUGGAAUUGUGUCCGGGCUUCGCUUACGCAGGAUAGGUGGGAGGCUUGGAAGUUUUGCUUGUGGGCAGGAUGGAGCCAACGGUGAGAUACCACUUUAGCGAGGCUAGAAUUCUAACCUUGACCCGUCAACCGGGUGAGAGACAGUUUCAGGGGGGUAGUUUGACUGGGGCGGUCGCCUCCUAAAGGGUAACGGAGGCGCGCAAAGGUUCCCUCAGGCUGGUUGGAAAUCAGCCAUAGAGUGCAAAGGCAGAAGGGAGCUUGACUGCAAGACCUACAAGUCGAGCAGGGUGGAAACACGGUCUUAGUGAUCCGACGGUGCCGCAUGGAAGGGCCGUCGCUCAACGGAUAAAAGUUA
rnacentral:rRNA from 1 species